rnacentral:rRNA from 1 species
UACGGGGGGGGCAAGCGUUGUUCGGAAUUACUGGGCGUAAAGGGUUCGUAGGUGGCCCGCUAAGUCAGACGUGAAAUCCCUCAGCUCAACUGGGGAACUGCGUCUGAGACUGGUGGGCUUGAGUGCAGGAGAGGAACGCGGAAUUCCAGGUGUAGCGGUGAAAUGCGUAGAUAUCUGGAGGAACACCGGUGGCGAAAGCGGCUCACUGGACCAUAACUGACGCUGAGGUGCGAAAGCUAGGGUAGCAAACGGG